UGGGGAAUAUUGCACAAUGGGCGCAAGCCUGAUGCAGCCAUGCCGCGUGUAUGAAGAAGGCCUUCGGGUUGUAAAGUACUUUCAGUCGGGAGGAAGGUGGUAAGGUUAAUAACCUUAUCAAUUGACGUUACCGACAGAAGAAGCACCGGCUAACUCCGUGCCAGCAGCCGCGGUAAUACAGAGGGUGCAAGCGUUAAUCGGAAUUACUGGGCGUAAAGCGCACGCAGGCGGUUGAUUGAGUCAGAUGUGAAAUCCCCGGGCUUAACCCGGGAAUUGCAUCUGAUACUGGUCAGCUAGAGUCUUGUAGAGGGGGGUAGAAUUCCAUGUGUAGCGGUGAAAUGCGUAGAGAUGUGGAGGAAUACCGGUGGCGAAGGCGGCCCCCUGGACAAAGACUGACGCUCAGGUGCGAAAGCGUGGGGAGCAAACAGG
rnacentral:rRNA from 1 species